rnacentral:rRNA from 1 species
GGGAGCUUACAUGGCAGUCGAGGGGCAGCGGGUAAGUAGCUUGCUACUUAUGCCGGCGACCGGCGGACGGGUGCGUAACGCGUAUGUAACCUACCUUUGACAGGGGGAUAACAUCGAGAAAUCGGUACUAAUACCCCAUAACAUCACCGGAGGCAUCUUCGGUGGUUGAAAACUCAGGUGGUCAGAGAUGGACAUGCGUUGUAUUAGCUAGUUGGUGAGGUAACGGCUCACCAAGGCGACGAUACAUAGGGGGACUGAGAGGUCAACCCCCCACAUUGGUACUGAGACACGGACCAAACUCCUACGGGAGGCAGCAGUGAGGAAUAUUGGUCAAUGGACGCAAGUCUGAACCAGCCAUGCCGCGUGCAGGAAGACGGCUCUAUGAGUUGUAAACUGCUUUUGUACGAGGGUAAAUCCCGAUACGUAUAUCGGGUUGAAAGUAUCGUACGAAUAAGGAUCGGCUAACUCCGUGCCAGCAGCCGCGGUAAUACGGAGGAUUCAAGCGUUAUCCGGGUUUAUUGGGUUUAAAGGGUGCGUAGGCGGUUCGAUAAGUUAGAGGUGAAAUCCCGGGGCUCAACUCCGGCACUGCCUCUGAUACUGUCGGGCUAGAGUUUAGUUGCGGUAGGCGGAAUGUAUGGUGUAGCGGUGAAAUGCAUAGAGAUCAUACAGAACACCGAUUGCGAAGGCAGCUUACCAAACUACAACUGACGUUGAGGCACGAAAGCGUGGGGAGCAAACAGGAUUAGAUACCCUGGUAGUCCACGCAGUAAACGAUGAUAACUGGUUGUCGGCGAUAUAAU